CCGAGGAUAGGUUACGAGUGGUAAGGUUGAUUGUUAUGUUGUUGAGUGUCUAAUCCUUUGAGUUAUUUCUUGAAUAUGAAUAGACCAUAUGAGACCUGUGGUUAGGUCACCAGUGAGGUCAUAGAGUCAUAAGUAGGAUAGUGUAUAUGUGUCUAACUCAUUGUCUAGGAUACUACUCAUGGCUAUGAGUCGUAUGAUGUUGUGAUGAGUCAAUGGGCU
rnacentral:lncRNA from 1 species